rnacentral:piRNA from 1 species
UCACGACAGGCUAUGACGGGGAAAGGUCGCA